UGUGGGAGCUGGCUUGCCUGCGAUAGCGGUGGGUCAGUUAGCCCAUACGGUUCUGACCCACCGCUAUCGCAGGCAAGCCAGCUCCCACA
rnacentral:misc_RNA from 1 species